rnacentral:rRNA from 1 species
CCUACGGGUGGCAGCAGUGGGGAAUAUUGCACAAUGGGGGAAACCCUGAUGCAGCGACGCCGCGUGAGUGAAGAAGUAUUUCGGUAUGUAAAGCUCUAUCAGCAGGGAAGAAGCAAGACGGUCCUUAACUAGGAAGCCCCGGCUACCUACGUGCCAGCAGCCGCGGUAAUACGAAGGGGGAAAGCGUUAUCCGGAUUUCCUGGGGGUAAAGGGAGCGUAGACGGGAUGGCAGGUCUGAAGUGAAAGCCCAGGGCUCAACCCUGGGACUGCUUUGGAAACUGGUAGACGAGAGUGCUGGAGAGGUAAGUGGAAUUCCUAGUGUAGCGGUGAAAUGCGUAGAUAUUAGGAGGAACACCAGUGGCGAAGGCGGCUUACUGGACAGUAACUGACGUUGAGGCUCGAAAGCGUGGGGAGCAAACAGGAUUAGAUACCCGUGUAGUC